rnacentral:lncRNA from 1 species
UUAGGUUCGGAGUGUGAUAAAAUGAUAUCAGAGCUUAGGUUUAAGAUCACUAAAGAUUGUGAUAUAAGUAAUAUCAAAAUUUUAGAUUAUGAUUAAUAGAGUGUGACAGAAUGAUAUCAGAGCUUAAGAUUAUGAUCUCUAUGGACUAUGAUUUAAGGAUGUUCAUGCAUAAGGUUAUAACCACUAAGAAAAUAAUAGAAUAAUAUCAUGGUUUAUGUUAUGAUCACUAGGGACUAUGACUUAAGUGGUAUUGG